ensembl:lncRNA
GUUUGGCAGGCUGGGUGAUGCUGUGUACUCCUGGCUCAGGCAUGCUCAAGAGCAUUCUUUGGCUGUUGGAGCUCAGUGGGUUGGGCUGUGCUGCCCACAGGCUGAUGUGCUGCUGAUGGCAAAUUAUACUCAGCUGGGUUGAGUGCUGCCAAAUUGCAACUCUUCCUAGGGCAAGCUGACUGCUGCUGGAGCAAACAGCUUCAUGGGAAUUGCUGUCAUUUUGCAGUAAGGAGGGCUGUGUGUAUGUGUCACCUGCUGGCAAAGAAGAGGAAGGGUGGCUGGAAAGUAAAGGUCUGUCUCUCCCUGUAAGGUGCAGUAUUCCCAGUGCACACAGGUGGAAAACCACAUCAUCUCAGAGGGACAGUCCACACCAGUGUUGAGACUGCUGAAGAAGAAGUUCCAGCUGCAACCAGGCCAUGGAGAUGUGCUCCACCCCAGACAGGAUCACUUUAUGGCUCUCCAUUUCUGUUUCUCAAAGCUGCUGUCCAAUCUGAGGAACCACUGUGGUAAUAAAUUCCACAGAUAACUGGCCUGGGCCCAAGUGAACUUUUUGGGAAGAUCGAAACAAAACAGAAUGAAGUGGCAGAAACCCACAGGAUCUGUUUACUAUAUUUUUGGUGAAGGAAUUAUGUGUAUUAAAGUGUUCCUCACUUUGGGUUGUGUAUCUAGUGCUGUGUUUUGCUUGUAGUUCAUGCAUGGUCCAGUUUUAAUCCUCCUUGUCCUGGAGCCUGUCAUGCAUAAUAGUUGGGUCCAUCUCCAGG